AGCAUUCUGUAUCCGUGCUGAGAUUUCGUCACACACCACAAAGGUUGAUGAGACUCCCAAGAUAAGUGAAGCG
rnacentral:pre_miRNA from 1 species